UUAAGCGACUAAGCGUACACGGUGGAUGCCCUGGCAGUCAGAGGCGAUGAAGGACGUGCUAAUCUGCGAUAAGCGUCGGUAAGGUGAUAUGAACCGUUAUAACCGGCGAUUUCCGAAUGGGGAAACCCAGUGUGUUUCGACACACUAUCAUUAACUGAAUCCAUAGGUUAAUGAGGCGAACCGGGGGAACUGAAACAUCUAAGUACCCCGAGGAAAAGAAAUCAACCGAGAUUCCCCCAGUAGCGGCGAGCGAACGGGGAGCAGCCCAGAGCCUGAAUCAGUGUGUGUGUUAGUGGAAGCGUCUGGAAAGGCGCGCGAUACAGGGUGACAGCCCCGUACACAAAAAUGCACAUGCUGUGAGCUCGAUGAGUAGGGCGGGACACGUGGUAUCCUGUCUGAAUAUGGGGGGGACCAUCCUCCAAGGCUAAAUACUCCUGACUGACCGAUAGUGAACCAGUACCGUGAGGGAAAGGCGAAAAGAACCCCGGCGAGGGGAGUGAAAAAGAACCUGAAACCGUGUACGUACAAGCAGUGGGAGCCUCUUUUAUGGGGUGACUGCGUACCUUUUGUAUAAUGGGUCAGCGACUUAUAUUCUGUAGCAAGGUUAACCGAAUAGGGGAGCCGAAGGGAAACCGAGUCUUAACUGGGCGUUAAGUUGCAGGGUAUAGACCCGAAACCCGGUGAUCUAGCCAUGGGCAGGUUGAAGGUUGGGUAACACUAACUGGAGGACCGAACCGACUAAUGUUGAAAAAUUAGCGGAUGACUUGUGGCUGGGGGUGAAAGGCCAAUCAAACCGGGAGAUAGCUGGUUCUCCCCGAAAGCUAUUUAGGUAGCGCCUCGUGAAUUCAUCUCCGGGGGUAGAGCACUGUUUCGGCAAGGGGGUCAUCCCGACUUACCAACCCGAUGCAAACUGCGAAUACCGGAGAAUGUUAUCACGGGAGACACACGGCGGGUGCUAACGUCCGUCGUGAAGAGGGAAACAACCCAGACCGCCAGCUAAGGUCCCAAAGUCAUGGUUAAGUGGGAAACGAUGUGGGAAGGCCCAGACAGCCAGGAUGUUGGCUUAGAAGCAGCCAUCAUUUAAAGAAAGCGUAAUAGCUCACUGGUCGAGUCGGCCUGCGCGGAAGAUGUAACGGGGCUAAACCAUGCACCGAAGCUGCGGCAGCGACGCUUAUGCGUUGUUGGGUAGGGGAGCGUUCUGUAAGCCUGUGAAGGUGUGCUGUGAGGCAUGCUGGAGGUAUCAGAAGUGCGAAUGCUGACAUAAGUAACGAUAAAGCGGGUGAAAAGCCCGCUCGCCGGAAGACCAAGGGUUCCUGUCCAACGUUAAUCGGGGCAGGGUGAGUCGACCCCUAAGGCGAGGCCGAAAGGCGUAGUCGAUGGGAAACAGGUUAAUAUUCCUGUACUUGGUGUUACUGCGAAGGGGGGACGGAGAAGGCUAUGUUGGCCGGGCGACGGUUGUCCCGGUUUAAGCGUGUAGGCUGGUUUUCCAGGCAAAUCCGGAAAAUCAAGGCUGAGGCGUGAUGACGAGGCACUACGGUGCUGAAGCAACAAAUGCCCUGCUUCCAGGAAAAGCCUCUAAGCAUCAGGUAACAUCAAAUCGUACCCCAAACCGACACAGGUGGUCAGGUAGAGAAUACCAAGGCGCUUGAGAGAACUCGGGUGAAGGAACUAGGCAAAAUGGUGCCGUAACUUCGGGAGAAGGCACGCUGAUAUGUAGGUGAAGCGACUUGCUCGUGGAGCUGAAAUCAGUCGAAGAUACCAGCUGGCUGCAACUGUUUAUUAAAAACACAGCACUGUGCAAACACGAAAGUGGACGUAUACGGUGUGACGCCUGCCCGGUGCCGGAAGGUUAAUUGAUGGGGUUAGCGCAAGCGAAGCUCUUGAUCGAAGCCCCGGUAAACGGCGGCCGUAACUAUAACGGUCCUAAGGUAGCGAAAUUCCUUGUCGGGUAAGUUCCGACCUGCACGAAUGGCGUAAUGAUGGCCAGGCUGUCUCCACCCGAGACUCAGUGAAAUUGAACUCGCUGUGAAGAUGCAGUGUACCCGCGGCAAGACGGAAAGACCCCGUGAACCUUUACUAUAGCUUGACACUGAACAUUGAGCCUUGAUGUGUAGGAUAGGUGGGAGGCUUUGAAGUGUGGACGCCAGUCUGCAUGGAGCCGACCUUGAAAUACCACCCUUUAAUGUUUGAUGUUCUAACGUUGACCCGUAAUCCGGGUUGCGGACAGUGUCUGGUGGGUAGUUUGACUGGGGCGGUCUCCUCCUAAAGAGUAACGGAGGAGCACGAAGGUUGGCUAAUCCUGGUCGGACAUCAGGAGGUUAGUGCAAUGGCAUAAGCCAGCUUGACUGCGAGCGUGACGGCGCGAGCAGGUGCGAAAGCAGGUCAUAGUGAUCCGGUGGUUCUGAAUGGAAGGGCCAUCGCUCAACGGAUAAAAGGUACUCCGGGGAUAACAGGCUGAUACCGCCCAAGAGUUCAUAUCGACGGCGGUGUUUGGCACCUCGAUGUCGGCUCAUCACAUCCUGGGGCUGAAGUAGGUCCCAAGGGUAUGGCUGUUCGCCAUUUAAAGUGGUACGCGAGCUGGGUUUAGAACGUCGUGAGACAGUUCGGUCCCUAUCUGCCGUGGGCGCUGGAGAACUGAGGGGGGCUGCUCCUAGUACGAGAGGACCGGAGUGGACGCAUCACUGGUGUUCGGGUUGUCAUGCCAAUGGCACUGCCCGGUAGCUAAAUGCGGAAGAGAUAAGUGCUGAAAGCAUCUAAGCACGAAACUUGCCCCGAGAUGAGUUCUCCCUGACUCCUUGAGAGUCCUGAAGGAACGUUGAAGACGACGACGUUGAUAGGCCGGGUGUGUAAGCGCAGCGAUGCGUUGAGCUAACCGGUACUAAUGAACCGUGAGGCUUAACCUU
rnacentral:rRNA from 1 species